rnacentral:rRNA from 1 species
AUUGAACGCUGGCGGCAUGCCUUACACAUGCAAGUCGAACGGUAACGGGCCUUCGGGUGCCGACGAGUGGCGAACGGGUGAGUAAUGUAUCGGAACGUACCUUUCAGUGGGGGAUAACGUAGCGAAAGUUACGCUAAUACCGCAUAUUCUGUGAGCAGGAAAGCAGGGGAUCGCAAGACCUUGCGCUGAUUGAGCGGCCGAUAUCAGAUUAGCUAGUUGGUGAGGUAAAGGCUCACCAAGGCGACGAUCUGUAGCGGGUCUGAGAGGAUGAUCCGCCACACUGGAACUGAGACACGGUCCAGACUCCUACGGGAGGCAGCAGUGGGGAAUUUUUGGACAAUGGGGGCAACCCUGAUCCAGCCAUGCCGCGUGAGUGAAGAAGGCCUCGGUGUAAGA